rnacentral:rRNA from 1 species
UUGGUGGAAGUGGUGAAAUGCGUUGAUAUCAAUCGGAACGCCAAAUAGAAGUCAGGCAACUGGAUCUGUUCUGACGCUGAGGCACGAAAGCGUGGGUAGCGAACGGGAUUAGAUACCCCGGUAGUCCACGCCGUAAACAAUGUGCACUAGGUCGAGGGCGUUCUGACGCGACUCUCGGCCGAAGCGAAAGUGUUAAGUGCACCGCCUGGGGAGUACGGUCGCAAGGCUAAAACUCAAAGGAAUUGACGGGGGCUCACACAAGCGGUGGAGCAUGUGGCUUAAUUCGAAGCAACGCGAAGAACCUUAUCCUAGGUUUGACAUACACGGAUUAGCUAUAAGAAACUAUAGUGACACCUUCGGGUGGAACGUGAACAGGUGCUGCAUGGCUGUCGUCAGCUCGUGCUGUGAAGUGUCGGGUUAAGUCCCUUAACGAGCGCAACCCUUAUCGUUAGUUGCUAACAGGUAAUGCUGAGGACUCUAGCGAGACUGCCGGUGUUAAACCGGAGGAAGGUGGGGAUGACGUCAAGUCCGCAUGGCCUUUAUGCCUAGGGCUGCACACGUGCUACAAUGGCAAGUACAAAACGAAGCAAUACCGCAAGGUGGAGCAAAUCGCAAAAACUUGCCCCAGUUCGGAUUGCAGGCUGCAACUCGCCUGCAUGAAGUUGGAAUCGCUAGUAAUCGUGGAUCUGCAUACGCGGUG